GAUAACUUCGGGAAACCGGAGCUAAUACCGGAUAAUCCUUUUCCUCUCAUGAGGAAAAGCUGAAAGACGGUUUCGGCUGUCACUUACAGAUGGGCCCGCGGCGCAUUAGCUAGUUGGUGAGGUAACGGCUCACCAAGGCAACGAUGCGUAGCCGACCUGAGAGGGUGAUCGGCCACACUGGGACUGAGACACGGCCCAGACUCCUACGGGAGGCAGCAGUAGGGAAUCUUCCGCAAUGGACGAAAGUCUGACGGAGCAACGCCGCGUGAGCGAUGAAGGCCUUCGGGUCGUAAAGCUCUGUUGUCAGGGAAGAACAAGUAUCGGAGUAACUGCCGGUACCUUGACGGUACCUGACCAGAAAGCCACGGCUAACUACGUGCCAGCAGCCGCGGUAAUACGUAGGUGGCAAGCGUUGUCCGGAAUUAUUGGGCGUAAAGCGCGCGCAGGCGGUUCCUUAAGUCUGAUGUGAAAGCCCCCGGCUCAACCGGGGAGGGUCAUUG
rnacentral:rRNA from 2 species